GAUGAACGCUGGCGGCGUGCCUAAUACAUGCAAGUCGAGCGAACGGACGAGAAGCUUGCUUCUCUGAUGUUAGCGGCGGACGGGUGAGUAACACGUGGAUAACCUACCUAUAAGACUGGGAUAACUUCGGGAAACCGGAGCUAAUACCGGAUAAUAUUUUGAACCGCAUGGUUCAAAAGUGAAAGACGGUCUUGCUGUCACUUAUAGAUGGAUCCGCGCUGCAUUAGCUAGUUGGUAAGGUAACGGCUUACCAAGGCAACGAUGCAUAGCCGACCUGAGAGGGUGAUCGGCCACACUGGAACUGAGACACGGUCCAGACUCCUACGGGAGGCAGCAGUAGGGAAUCUUCCGCAAUGGGCGAAAGCCUGACGGAGCAACGCCGCGUGAGUGAUGAAGAUCUUCGGAUCGUAAAACUCUGUUAUUAGGGAAGAACAUAUGUGUAAGUAACUGUGCACAUCUUGACGGUACCUAAUCAGAAAGCCACGGCUAACUACGU
rnacentral:rRNA from 1 species